AGGAAGUUCCAUUAAGGGCGCAUGGUGGAUGCCUUGACUGAAUGGAGCGAUGAAAGACGUGGUCUGGCUGCGAUAAGUUUCGGGGAGGUGCCAAACA
rnacentral:rRNA from 1 species